UACGGAAGGCAGCAGUGGGGAAUAUUGCACAAUGGGCGAAAGCCUGAUGCAGCUAUGCCGCGUGUAUGAAGAAGGCCUUAGGGUUGUAAAGUACUUUCAUCGGGGAGGAAAAAACAAAACUAAUAAUUUUAUUUCUUGACGUUACCCGAAAAAGAAGCACCGGCUAACUCCGUGCCAGCAGCCGCGGUAAUACGGAGGGUGCUAGCGUUAAUCAGAAUUACUGGGCGUAAAGAGCACGUAGGUGGUUUUUUUAAGUCAGAUGUGAAUCCCUGGGCUUAACCUAGGAACUGCAUUUUGAAACUGAAAUACUAGAGUAUCGUAGAGGGAGGUAGAAUUCUAGGUGUAGCGGUGAAAUGCGUAGAUAUCUGGAGGAAUACCUGUGGCGAAAGCGGCCUCCUAAACGAAUACUGACACUGAGGUGCGAAAGCGUGGGGAGCAAAC
rnacentral:rRNA from 1 species